rnacentral:rRNA from 1 species
UACGUAGGGGGCUAGCGUUGUCCGGAAUUACUGGGCGUAAAGAGCUCGUAGGUGGUUUGUCGCGUUGUCCGUGAAAACUCACAGCUCAACUGUGGGCGUGCGGGCGAUACGGGCAGACUGGAGUACUGCAGGGGAGACUGGAAUUCCUGGUGUAGCGGUGGAAUGCGCAGAUAUCAGGAGGAACACCGGUGGCGAAGGCGGGUCUCUGGGCAGUAACUGACGCUGAGGAGCGAAAGCGUGGGGAGCGAACAGG